rnacentral:rRNA from 1 species
ACUCCUACGGGAGGCAGCAGUGGGGAAUAUUGCACAAUGGGCGCAAGCCUGAUGCAGCCAUGCCGCGUGUAUGAAGAAGGCCUUCGGGUUGUAAAGUACUUUCAGCAGUGAGGAAGGUGGGUAUGUUAAUAGCAUAUUCAUUUGACGUUAGCUGCAGAAGAAGCACCGGCUAACUCCGUGCCAGCAGCCGCGGUAAUACGGAGGGUGCGAGCGUUAAUCGGAAUUACUGGGCGUAAAGCGCAUGCAGGUGGUUUGUUAAGUCAGAUGUGAAAGCCCGGGGCUCAACCUCGGAAUUGCAUUUGAAACUGGCAAACUAGAGUACUGUAGAGGGGGGUAGAAUUUCAGGUGUAGCGGUGAAAUGCGUAGAGAUCUGAAGGAAUAACCGGUGGCGAAGGCGGCCCCCUGGACAGAUACUGACACUCAGAUGCGAAAAGCGUGGGGAGCAAACAGGAUUAGAUACCCUGGUAGGCGU